rnacentral:lncRNA from 1 species
AAUAUCCCCAAGACAAGAAUCAAAUAUCUUACCAAACAACAGUCUCAUAUCCCCAUUGACCUCAAGACCAACAUCAACAAUCUCAGGCAAUUCUCCGCAAAGCCACAUAAACUGUCUAAAAUCCAUAAUCCAUAAUGUUAUCUAAUCAAAUACAGAGAGGUCGGUCCAUGUCAUGCCUCUAGUUCUAUAACAUCAUCCACCAAUAUCCUCACAACAGAUUCAUGACCCCAAACAUGUCCUUUAACAAGGACAGUUAAUUAUUGGUCUGCGACAACGAACGGUACUUUGAAAGAUAACUAACAACCAACUGACUUGCGAGUACUAGUAGCUAAUAAGCGGCAAUAUGUUUCUCACUAGUCACUACCAAACCAAACACUAGUGUCACACGGCACCACCUGAUGU